UGGCGGCAGGCUUAACACAUGCAAGUCGAGCGCCCCGCAAGGGGAGCGGCAGACGGGUGAGUAACGCGUGGGAAUCUACCUUUUGCUACGGAAUAACGCAGGGAAACUUGUGCUAAUACCGUAUGUGUCCUUCGGGAGAAAGAUUUAUCGGCAAGAGAUGAGCCCGCGUUGGAUUAGCUAGUUGGUGGGGUAAAGGCCUACCAAGGCGACGAUCCAUAGCUGGUCUGAGAGGAUGAUCAGCCACAUUGGGACUGAGACACGGCCCAAACUCCUACGGGAGGCAGCAGUGGGGAAUAUUGGACAAUGGGCGCAAGCCUGAUCCAGCCAUGCCGCGUGAGUGAUGAAGGCCCUAGGGUUGUAAAGCUCUUUCACCGGAGAAGAUAAUGACGGUAUCCGGAGAAGAAGCCCCGGCUAACUUCGUGUCAGCAGCCGCGGUAAUACCAAGGGGGCUAGACUUGCUCGGAAUUACUGGGCGUCAAGCCCCCGUAGGCGGAUCCAUUAUUCCGGGGUGAAAUCCCAGGGCUCAACCCUGGAACUGGCUUUGAUACUGGCUAUCUGGAGUAUGGAAGCAGUGAGUGGAAUUCCGAGUGUAGAGGUGAAAUUCGUAGAUAUUCGGAGGAACACAAGUGGCGAAGGCGGCUCACUGGUCCAUUACUGACGCUGAGGUGCGAAAGCGUGGGGAGCAAACACGAUUAGAUACCCUGGUAGUCCACGCCGUAAACGAUGAAUGUUAGCCGUCGGGCAGUAUACUGUUCGGUGGCGCAGCUAACGCAUUAAACAUUCCGCCUGGGGAGUACGGUCGCAAGAUUAAAUCUCAAAGGAAUUGACGGGGGCCCGCACAAGCGGUGGAGCAUGUGGUUUAAUUCGAAGCAACGCGCAGAACCUUACCAGCCCUUGACAUCCUGUGUUACCUGUAGAGAUAGGGGGUCCACUUCGGUGGCGCAGAGACAGGUGCUGCAUGGCCGUCGUCAGCUCGUGUCGUGAGAUGUUGGGUUAAGUCCCGCAACGAGCGCAACCCUCGCCCUUAGUUCCCAGCAUUGACUUGGGCACUGUAAGGGGACUGCCGGUGAUAAGCCGAGAGGAAGGUGGGGAUGACGCCAAGUCCUCAUUGCCCUUACGGGGUCGGCUGCACUCGCCCUCCAAUGGUGGUGGCAGUGGUCAGCGAGCUCGCAAGUGUGAGCUAAUCUGCAAAACCCAUAUCAAUUGGGAUUACACUCUUCAACUCGAGCGCCUGAAGUUGGAAUCGCUAGUAAUCGCGGCUCAGCAUGCCGCGGUGAAUACGUUCCCGGGCCUUGUACACACCGCCCGUCACACCAUGGGAGUUGGUUUUACCCGAAGGUAGUGCGCUAACCGCAAGGAGGCAGCUAACCACGGUAGGGUCAGCGACUGGGGUGAAGUCGU
rnacentral:rRNA from 1 species